rnacentral:rRNA from 1 species
GNGAGUACGCCCGCAAGGUUGACACUCCAAAGGAAUUGACGGGGACCCGCACAAGCGNUGGAGCAUGUGGUUUAAUUCGAUGCNACGCGAAGAACCUUACCUGGUCUUGACAUNUCUGGAAUCCCCGAAGAAGAUUUGGGAGUGCCGCAAGGAACCAGAACACAGGUGCUGCAUGGCUGUCGUCAGCUCGUGUCGUGAGAUNNUGGGUUAAGUCCCCGCAAACGAGCGCAACCCUUGUCCUUAGUUGCCAUCAUUAAGUUGGGAACUCUAAGGAGACCGCCGGUGACAAACCGGAGGAAGGUGGGGAUGACGUCAAGUCAUCAUGGCCUUUAUGANCCAGGGCUACACACGUGCUACAAUGGCAAGUACAGAGGGAAGCCAACCCGCGAGGGGGAGCUAAUCCCAGAAAGCUUGUCUUAGUCCGGAUUGGAGUCUGCAACUCGACUCCGUGAAGUCGGAAUCGCUAGUAAUCGCAGAUCAGCAUUGCUGCGGUGAAUACGUUCCCGGGUCUUGUACACACCGCCCGUCACACCAUGGGAGUUGAUUGCACCAGAAGCAGGUAGCCUGACCGCAAGGGGGGCGCCUACCACGGUGUGGUCAAUGACUGGGGUGAAGUCGUAACAAGGUACC